GAUGAACGCUGGCGGCGUGCCUAAUACAUGCAAGUCGAGCGAACAGACGAGGAUCUUGCUCCUCUGACGUUAGCGGCGGACGGGUGAGUAACACGUGGAUAACCUACCUAUAAGACUUGGAUAACUUCGGGAAACCGUAGCUAAUACCGGAUAAUAUAUUUAACCGCAUGGUUCAAUAGUUAAAUACGGUUUUUCUGUCACUUAUAGAUGGAUCCGCGCCGCAUUAGCUAGUUGGUAAGGUAACGGCUUACCAAGGCAACGAUGCGUAGCCGACCUGAGAGGGGGAUCGGACACACGGGAAGGGAGAAACGGUAAAGAGUAAUACGGGAGGAAGCAGUAGGGAAGAUUCCGCAAUGGGCGAAAGCCUGACGGAGCAACGCCGCGUGAGUGAUGAAGGUCUGCGGAUCGUAAAACUCUGUUAUUAGGGAAGAACAAAUGUGUAAGUAACUAUGCACGUAUUGACGGUACCUAAUCAGAAAGCAACGGCUAACUACGUG
rnacentral:rRNA from 1 species